CGCGUGUGUGAAGAAGCCUGGGGGUAGUAAGCACUUUCAAUAGGAAGGAAUACCUAUCGGUUAAUACCCGGUAGACUGACAUUACCUAUACAAGAAGCACCGGCUAACUCCGUGCCAGCAGCCGCGGUAAUACGGAGGGUGCAAGCGUUAAUCGGAAUUACUGGGCGUAAAGCGUGCGUAGGCGGUUAUUUAAGUCAGAUGUGAAAGCCCUGGGCUUAACCUGGGAACUGCAUUUGAUACUGGAUGAUUAGAGUUGAGUAGAGGAGAGUGGAAUUUCAGGUGUAGCGGUCAAAUGCGUAGAGAUCUGAAGGAACACCAGUGGCGAAGGCGGCUCUCUGGACUCAAACUGACGCUGAGGUACGAAAGCGUGGGUAGCAAACAGGAUUAGAUACCCUGGUAGUCCACGCCGUAAACGAUGUCAACUAACCGUUGGGUUCUUUAAGAACUUAGUGGUGGAGCUAACGUAUUAA
rnacentral:rRNA from 1 species